GCAGUGCAGUACAAAUUGUAUUAAGGUGAAACCGCGAAUGGCUCAGUAAAUCAGUUAUGGUUCCUUUGAUGUAUGGUUCUCACUUGGAUAACUGUGGCAAUUCCAGAGCUAAUACAUGCAAAUAAAUCCCAACCUUGCGGAAGGGAUGAUCUUGUUAGCCUGCAAAACCAUGCCCGGUUCGACUUCUGUCGUUCCGUAGCUUUUGUGAUGAAUCUGAACAAUAAACGUUGAUCGCAUGGCCCUGGAGCCUGGCGACGCAUCAUUCAAAUGCCUGCUCUAUCAACUAUGAUGGUCGGCUAUACGCCUACCAUGGUGUUGACGGGUGACGGGGAAUCAGGGUUCGAUUCCGGAGAGGGAGCCUGAGAAAUAGCUACCACAUCCAAGGAAGGCAGCAGGCGCGCAAAUUACCCACUCCCAGCAAGGGGAGGUAGUGACGAAGCAUAACGAUACGGGACUCCCAUCCGAGGCCCCGUGAUUGGAUUGAGUUCGGUACAGAGAACCGAUA
rnacentral:rRNA from 1 species